AGCGAACGCUGGCGGCAGGCUUAACACAUGCAAGUCGAACGGGUCCUUCGGGACUAGUGGCAGACGGGUGAGUAACGCGUGGGAACGUGCCUUUCGGUUCGGAAUAACUCAGGGAAACUUGAACUAAUACCGGAUACGCCCUUCGGGGGAAAGAUUUAUCGCCGAAAGAUCGGCCCGCGUCUGAUUAGCUAGUUGGUGAGGUAAAGGCUCACCAAGGCGACGAUCAGUAGCUGGUCUGAGAGGAUGAUCAGCCACAUUGGGACUGAGACACGGCCAAACUCCUACGGGAGGCAGCAGUGGGGAAUAUUGGACAAUGGGCGCAAGCCUGGUCCAGCCAUGCCGCGUGAGUGAUGAAGGCCUUAGGGUUGUAAAGCUCUUUGUCCGGGAAGAUAAUGACUGUACCGGAAGAAUAAGCCCGGCUAACUUCGUG
rnacentral:rRNA from 1 species